rnacentral:rRNA from 1 species
AUUGAACGCUGGCGGCAUGCUUUACACACGCAAGUCGAACGGCAGCGCGGGCUUCGGCCUGGCGGCGAGUGGCGAACGGGUGAGUAAUACAUCGGAACGUGCCCAGUAGUGGGGGAUAGCUCGGCGAAGGCCGGAUUAAUACCGCAUACGACCUGAGGGUGAAAGCGGGGGAUCUUCGGACCUCGCGCUAUUGGAGCGGCCGAUGGCAGAUUAGCUAGUUGGUGGGGUAAAGGCCUACCAAGGCGACGAUCUGUAGCUGGUCUGAGAGGACGACCAGCCACACUGGGACUGAGACACGGCCCAGACUCCUACGGGAGGCAGCAGUGGGGAAUUUUGGACAAUGGGCGAAAGCCUGAUCCAGCAAUGCCGCGUGUGUGAUGAAGGCCUUCGGGUUGUAAAGCACUUUUGGCGGGAACGAAAAGGACUGUGCCAAUACCACGGUUCGAUGACGGUACCCGCAGAAUAAGCACCGGCUAACUACGUG